AGCCCUGUAGUGAUUAACACAUCAAAUUGCAAAUUUGAAAAAGGUUCCUUUUUGGUCCCAGGGCUU
rnacentral:tRNA from 1 species